rnacentral:rRNA from 1 species
CGCUUAACACAUGCAAGUCGAACGAUAAAGGGAGCAAUCCUGAGUAAAGUGGCGCACGGGUGAGUAACACGUGGGUAAUCUACCCUCUGGUGGGGAAUAACUUUGGGAAACCGAAGCUAAUACCGCAUAAGACCGGAAGGUGAAAGGCGCAAGUCGCCGGAGGAGGAGCCCGCGGCCGAUUAGCUAGUUGGUAGGGUAAAAGCCUACCAAGGCAAUGAUCGGUAGCCGGCCUGAGAGGGCACACGGCCACACUGGCACUGAAACACGGGCCAGACUCCUACGGGAGGCAGCAGUGGGGAAUCUUGCACAAUGGGGGAAACCCUGAUGCAGCGACGCCGCGUGAGCGAUGAAGCCCUUCGGGGUGUAAAGCUCUUUCGGCAGGGACGAUAAUGACGGUACCUGAAGAAGAAGCUGCGGCUAACUACGUGCCAGCAGCCGCGGUAAUACGUAGGCAGCGAGCGUUGUUCGGAGUUACUGGGCGUAAAGGGUGCGUAGGCGGUGUCCUAAGUCUGUUGUGAAAUCUCCCGGCUUAACCGGGAGGGUGCGGCGGAAACUGGGAGGCUGGAGUACGGGAGAGGUAAGCGGAAU